CUUCAACUACCUCCAUUGAUAUCUAAGUUGUUGUUGACUCGAAGGUAGUUGAAGAGAGAGUCAACAACAACUUAGAUAUCAAUGGAGGUAGUUGAAG
rnacentral:pre_miRNA from 1 species